UACGGGGGGGGCAAGCGUUGUUCGGAAUUACUGGGCGUAAAGGGCGCGUAGGCGGCCUGCUAAGUCGGAUGUGAAAUCCCUCGGCUCAACCGAGGAACUGCAUCCGAUACUGGCGGGCUUGAAUCCGGGAGAGGGAUGUGGAAUUCCAGGUGUAGCGGUGAAAUGCGUAGAUAUCUGGAGGAGCACCGGUGGCGAAGGCGGCAUCCUGGACCGGUAUUGACGCUGAGGAGCGAAAGCUAGGGGAGCAAACGGG
rnacentral:rRNA from 1 species